UAAGACAGUUUGAUCUAGAUCCGCAAACUGAACUUGAUCAAUCUGGUUAAACGAUUGGAUAAGCCGGGUUAUACUAAGGGGAUUUUCGGGUUGAACUUAGAAAGAACCUUUCAUUGUUGCAUGCUUAGAAACUGACUGAUUAAGUUAUCAGAUAGAUACUUACGUUUUGUUGGUUUCAGGACAAGAUGGUGAUCGUGGGAAGGACUUGGCUUAGCCGUGAAAACUCGAGGCCGCGGAUGGAUGGGUGGUUGGAUAUACUGAUUUAGGAUCGAACUUUGUAAUAGCCUAUAGUGAAAACUUAACAAUUGUAUCGAAUCUUUUGUGAUAUAAAUAAAGAAAUCAGUUUAUCUUUCAGCAUAUUGACUCUAAUAAAACGCAUAUAGACUCUAUCUUAUGAAUCUCAUAAUUAUCCGAAUUUGACUUAAGAUUAAUCAGACCUUAAAAAAACUGACUGGUCGGCCUGGUCAAGCCAUGGCCGAACCUGAGGAACCUCACUGGAUCAAGUGUCCGGGUUAGGGCCCUUUAUAUCCAAUAUGUGUUUCCUCCGGAAAGCUCAUUGUAGCAGUCGUCUGGAUCUCGAGUAAAAAGCUUAGGUAAUCUUAUGUACGUUUCUCCAAUCUUAGAUUCUGAAAUUCUUAUGAAUAAUAAUAACUGAAUUGGAAUUUAAUAUGAUGGUUGAAUCAUACGAAUGGGUGGAGAGAGUAAUGAAGGUGAGAUGGGGUUAAACUAUGAAGAUGAUGAAAGUGGGAUCUCAAGAGUUGGAAAUAUAUCAGUGCUUUCAUUUUGAUAUUGUCUCCAUCAAGGGAAUUUGCUUCACAAACAGAGAAGACGAUACAAUCUACUGGGAGUACAUACCAAUAUUCAGGCUUAAGCCUGCAUCGGUGGUAAGAGUAUUGUAGAAGAUAUCAAGAAGGAAGAGUGUGGUGUACAUGAUGUGUCUAGAACACCUGGUCGACCAAAUAAAAUGAUAAAAAGAGGAAAUUUACAAACUAAGGCUGUUAAAUUUUUGAUUCUUGAUAAGAGUAAUGAAGGUGAGAUGCUGAGCAAAGGUUUCAAAGACGAAAUUUACGAGGCUUACAGAUACGAUGUUCAGGGAAUCGAACAAUAUUAUGUUGAUGUUGUGAAGAAGAGUGGAAGUUUGAUACACUUUGUGAUCUUUAUGGGACGCUUAUUAUCAAUCAAGCUAUUAACUUCUACAGCACAAGACAAAAGGUGGAUUAGCUUACUAAGAAGAUGGGGAGUAGUAACUUUAUAGUGGCAUCAAUGAAUGGAGACAAACGUCAAAAGGGGAGAGAUGAAAUCAUGAACCAGAUCCGGUCUUUUAAAAGUCGCUUCACAAGCUCCCACUACCAUUCAAUGGUGAUGGACAAUCCAUAGAUAAGUUGCUUUAUUACCAUCCCGGUUCAAGCUCAGGUUAUCCGGACAUGUUUGAGCGUCUUUUCCCGUUUGGUGAUUGUGGAGGUGGUGUCACUGGUCAGAUUGGUCAUUUUCUUGGUUCCAACAAGAAAGUAGAAAGUGUUGGAAUAUUGAUCAGAGCUGGAGAGUCUCAUGAGGAUCGUCACCAGGUUUCAGGUGAUGGUGUUCUUGGUGCUUCUACAAUCAGGAAAGAAGGCAAGUCAUAGUCGAAUCGAAAUGGACAAUGUAGAUUUUGGUUUGGUAGCAACAGGUUUGAUUCUCAUACGAGAACUAUUAGGAAUAAAACAAAAACUUUUGACGGUGGUUUGUGCUGAAAAAAGUGAUUUCACAACCUUUUACAUAACUUCUUCAUUUUUAUUGUCCUCUAAAAUUUGCAGAUAAAUGAAAGAAGGAGAAAUUGUGAGUUGA